CAUUCCCCUCAUGUAGUCCCAGAAAUGGGAAGCAGAUUCAUGGUACUGACUUGCCAGCCAGUCUACAGUACUUGGUGCUCGGGCUUCCGCAGCUCACCACAAUGGACAGCUGAGAGAUCAGAACCAAGAUGGUGAAUGACUGCCUGAAUGUUGGAUAGUGUCUUAGUUUUCUCAUCACUGCGACAAAACACCUCUCCUCCAAACACAACUGAAGGUUUGCUUCUCAUUCUGCAUUCUCCAUGUUCCUUUUCCAAAUGGGAGCACAAGCAGGAAGCAUCAUCAGCUUCGUUGCUGUGACUCUGCUGUGACUCUUCUCUCCAAGGACAGUGUGAGACAAACCUCAGCCCAGGAUGAUCCUGGAUGCAUCCACCAAGAGAUUUGCAAACUCAGGAUUAAGCUUAAAAACACUCACAAAAGGUUGGAAAAUGUAUAAUCUUAGAAUAUCUGGAGGUUCCGAAUGUAUCCUGAGCUGAAAGCACAACUUCAGGCUCAAGAAUGACAAUUUCAGAAAUGCACACAACUGGACAGUGAGCAUGCUCCGAAGUGCACACAACUGGACAGUGGGCAUGCUCAGAAGUGCACACAACUGGACAGUGAGCAAGCACAGCUCACCUUUAUUCCAUUUUUUUUCUGAGUCUAUGUGAAGGAUCCCUAAAUCAGGGCUCUGUGUUGUUUCUCUACCUCGUGUACCAUGUCUCUGACUCUGAUGAUUUUGUGUCAGCUAUCGUCACAUUUCUUUUAUGUGUCUUGCAUUUAUUGACCCACUUCAGUUUUAAAUGAAAGCUUCUUGAUCAUUUUGACAA
rnacentral:lncRNA from 1 species